UUGAAAAUUGAUUACAUGACCAGAUGAGAACAAACAUAUUAUAGGCGAAUCUUUGUUUACAUCUUUUUGCGCAUGCGCGUGUGGUUGGGUGGCAAGAAGAC